UCCGGAUGUCAGAUAUCAUUACUAAAUGGUCACUUUGAUUAGUAUAAAAAUUUAUUUCUAUGCUAUCGGCUUAGUAUUCGAACCUGUGGGGUCACAGAUAAUAGAGGUUCCUGUUUGAUCAGAUGGUUGAUCAACGAUUAUGAAUUAUUGAAGGAUAUGAUCGUCAAUAUGAUUGAUGAUUAAUCUGUUGGAAAAUAUGUCCCAAAAGCCAAUCG
rnacentral:lncRNA from 1 species